AGCAGUAGCAGUUUCAAUCCGGGUCUGGAGGAAGAGGUCAUGGACCAUAGUCGACCUUUACUAAGUAAAAGAAAAGACAUGUGAUUGUAGUGGAUGGAGGGUCACAGAUGGUCCUCAGAGCAGCAACUGAACGCAUGACUGAGGAAAACUAGCUGAUAAAGUACAAUUCAUAUGAGAAAGCCACUCCAGAUCGGGCCCAUUGCUACGGUAACCAGACACUCCUGCUGUCCCCUCUCAUCCCUGCAAGCAGCGCUCCAAUCAGAAUCAGCCGAGGUGUUUAGGCCAUCAGGUUUUUGGACGGAGAGCUCAGCCACACUGAUUUGCCUGUGAUGGAGGGUUGUGAAACAGAGCGCUCGGGCUAAUCAGUUCACCAGGCCACCCCACUUCAGUCUCGCCUCUCACU